GACGAUGUGGUCGCAGAGCUCAGAAGAAUAUCUGCCUGUCCCCUAGUGACCCAUACUCAGGAAUCCUUCACUCAGGUGUCUGUGUGGAACCAGAGAGUCAGUGGGUGACUCAAGUUAACAGAUUGCAGCAGCUGAUUGACAGGUUGGAGUGCAAGGAUGGGCCUGUUAAUGGUGAAGGAAUUGAAGGAAAACAUAUUACAGGGGUGUGUGCCUGGGGAGAGACCAGGAGUGUGGGACCACCUACAGGGACACUUGGGAAUGGUGC